rnacentral:misc_RNA from 1 species
AACGCACAUUGCGCCCCUCGGUAUUCCGUGGGGCAUGCCUGUUCGAGCGUCAUUUACACCCUCAAGCUAUGCUUGGUGUUGGGCGUCUGUCCCGCCUCCGUGCGCGGACUCGCCUCAAAGUCAUUGGCAGCGGUCUCGUCGGCUUCUCGCGCAGCACAUUUGCGCUUCUCGGAGCCCCGGCGGAUUAGCGUCCAGCAAGCAAUUUCAUGACUUGACCUCGGAUCAGGUAGGGAUACCCGCUGAACUUAA